rnacentral:rRNA from 1 species
UACAGAGGUCUCAAGCGUUGUUCGGAUUCAUUGGGCGUAAAGGGCGCGUAGGCGGCGGGGUAAGUCGGGUGUGAAAUCUCAGAGCUCAACUCUGAAACUGCACUCGAUACUGCUCUGCUUGAGGACCGGAGAGGAGACUGGAAUUCACGGUGUAGCAGUGAAAUGCGUAGAUAUCGUAAGGAAGACCAGUGGCGAAGGCGGGUCUCUGGACAGUUCCUGACGCUGAGGCACGAAGGCCAGGGGAGCAAACGGG